UACGUAGGCAGCGAGCGUUGUUCGGAGUUACUGGGCGUAAAGGGUGCGUAGGCGGUUGUUUAAGUUUGGUGUGAAAUCUCCCGGCUCAACUGGGAGGGUGCGCCGAAUACUGAAUGACUAGAGUGCGGGAGAGGAUAGUGGAAUUCCUGGUGUAGCGGUGAAAUGCGUAGAUAUCAGGAAGAACACCCGUGGCGAAGGCGGCUCUCUGGAACGCAACUGGACGCUGAGACGCGAAAGCGUGGGAGCAA
rnacentral:rRNA from 1 species